rnacentral:rRNA from 1 species
ACAGCAGUCGCCGCGGUAAUACGUAGGUGGCAAGCGUUGUCCGGAAUUAUUGGGCGUAAAGGGCUCGCAGGCGGUUUCUUAAGUCUGAUGUGAAAGCCCCCGGCUCAACCGGGGAGGGUCAUUGGAAACUGGGAAACUUGAGUGCAGAAGAGGAGAGUGGAAUUCCACGUGUAGCGGUGAAAUGCGUAGAGAUGUGGAGGAACACCAGUGGCGAGGGCGACUCUCUGGUCUGUAACUGACGCUGAGGAGCGAAAGCGUGGGGAGCGAACAGGAUUAGAUACCCCCGUAGUCCCUGUCUCUUAUAA